rnacentral:rRNA from 1 species
UUCCCUUAGUAACUGCGAGUGAAGUGGGAAGAGCUCAAAUUUGUAAUCUGGCGGCCUUUGGACGUCCGAGUUGUAAUCUAAAGAAGUGCUACCUGUGCUGGACCGUGUACAAGUCUUCUGGAAUGGAGCAUCACAGAGGGUGAGAAUCCCGUCUUUGACAUGGACUGCCAGUGCUCAAUAGGUGUGCUCUCGAAGAGUCGAGUUGUUUGGGAAUGCAGCUCAAAAUGGGUGGUAAAUGCCAUCUAAAGCUAAAUAUUGGCGAGAGACCGAUAGCGAACAAGUACCGUGAGGGAAAGAUGAAAAGAACUUUGGAAAGAGAGUUAAACAGUACGUGAAAUUGCUGAAAGGGAAACGCUUGAAGUCAGUCGCGUCCGUCGGGAAUCAACCUUGCUCUUGCUGGGUGUACUUUCUGUCGGACGGGUCAGCAUCAGUUUCGGUCGCUGGACAAAGUUCUUUGGGAAUGUGGCAUCCUCGGAUGUGUUAUAGCCCUUGGGACACAUGCAGCGGUCGGGAUUGAGGAACUCAGCACGCCCGCGAGGGCUGGGGCUUUUUUGCCCACACGACUGUGCUUAGGAUGCUGGCGUAAUGGCUUUAAUCGACCCGUCUUGAAACACGGACCAAGGAGUCUAACAUGCCUGCGAGUGUUUGAGUGGAAAACUCAUGCGCGCAAUGAAAGUGAUAGUUGAGAUCCCUGUCAUGGGGAGCAUCGAUGCCCAGACCAGACCUUUUGUGACGGAUCUGCGGUAGAGCAUGCAUGUUGGGACCCGAAAGAUGGUGAACUAUGCCUGAAUAGGGUGAAGCCAGAGGAAACUCUGGUGGAGGCUCGUAGCGAUUCUGACGUGCAAAUCGAUCGUCAAAUUUGGGUAUAGGGGCGAAAGACU